AUGACGCCAGGCCUCAGAGCUGAGCGCUGGGCGAUGCACCAUGACAAACUCAGGGAGGAGAGAAGCUCACAGAGGAAUAGCAACACAGUUUGUCACCCCACUCUCUACACCCACUGGCUGAGGCUGCAUGGGGCUGCAUUGACGUCAAGAAUUAACCUCCGCUGGCUGGUCCUAAUUCUCAGGCCGGGGUUAUUGGAGCUUGUAGCCAGAGGCUAUUUUUUCAUCAUUCAUUUCCAUCAAUCUGCAACUGGAGACAAAGAAAAAGACAUCAUGACUGACUUGUUGUGACACACAGUCAAAAGGCCGGUUUCAGCUGAAAGGGUGGCCUUGUCCUAUGAUCUCUGUACAUCUGGGGAAUGGUGGACUUCACAGAGGGCUGUUUCAAUGUCCAAGUGCACAUACUGGAGGAAGAAGAGAAUCAGCCUAUAUGCCACAAAAGAGGGAAAUGGAUUUCAGAAAAAGUGAUUGAUGGAGGUGGAUGAAAAUGCUGAUAUUAGUAUCACAGUUAAGCAGAAAAUAUACCAACACUGACAGUACAGACCA